UUGAGUAACGAAAACAUUGGUGAGAAUCCAAUGCCCCGAAAACCCAAGGUUUCCUCCGCAAGGUUCGUCCACGGAGGGUGAGUCAGGGCCUAAGAUCAGGCCGAAAGACGUAGUCGAUGGACAACAGGUCAAUAUUCCUGUACUACCCCUUGUUGGUAUGGAGGGAUGGAGGAAAUAUAGGCCUGCUUGCCAUCCACACCAGAAUAGAUAGAGUUUUCCAAAGAAACUAGCUAGUGGAGGAAGGCCUCCUAGGGAUAAGAGACAUAGGGCUAAAGAGAGAGCCAAAAAAGGAUCUGUCGUGUAUAA
rnacentral:ncRNA from 1 species